rnacentral:rRNA from 1 species
CGAGGAAUCUUGCGCAAUGGGCGAAAGCCUGACGCAGCGACACCGCGUGGAGGAAGAAGGUUCUAGGAUUGUAAACUCCUUUUGUUGGGGAAGAGUAAGGACUGUACCCAACGAAUAAGCUUCGGCUAACUACGUGCCAGCAGCCGCGGUAAUACGUAGGAAGCGAGCGUUGUCCGGAUUUACUGGGCGUAAAGGGCGAGUAGGCGGCCUGCCAAGUCUCAUGUGAAAUCUUCUGGCUCAACUGGAAGGGGUCAUGGGAUACUGGUAGGCUUGAGGUUAACAGAGGAAAGCGGAAUUCCCGGAGUAGCGGUGAAAUGCGUAGAUACCGGGAGGAACACCAGAGGCGAAGGCGGCUUUCUGGGUUACACCUGACGCUGAGGCGCGAAAGCAUGGGGAGCAAACCGGAUUAGAUACCCGCGUAGUCC